CACAAAAAAUAUGCAGGCUGUACGCCGCUGUGCCCUCUCGGGGGCUAGUGGCAAAGGCUGAAAUAUUUUUCACCCAUGUCUUUUGCGCACUUGUUUGUUUCCUGGGCGGGCUCGCCCGCCACCAGGACCACACCUUAAACCUUUUUUUAUGCAGUUGCAAUCAGCGUCAGUAUAACAAAUGUAAAAUCAUUUA
rnacentral:misc_RNA from 1 species